UGUCCGUGAUGAGAAGUAAAAGGUCUGACCUCACACAAACCCCUCCCGCCACCAUGUUGGCUCCCAGCAGGCCCUGCUCUCAGCCCGGCGUGCUAAAGUUGCACUGCUGGUCCAGGAUCUGCUGACACGCAGGAUGUGACAUCACAAGCAGCCUGUAGGGGAGCACUCACAGGCUGGUUGAGUGACAUCCAACAUAACAUGACCAGAGGGGAGCACCAGGCUGGGGGAGGGGAGUCUGAGUGGUGAUCGCACUCUUCUGCUGAGACC